UCUACCCGCGCAUACUCCUUCGCAUAUCCUCCCCGCGCGGCGUCCCUCCUCCUUCCCGCUCGGCGUGCGAAACUUCUCCGGGCUAUCCCCUCCCGUCGUCCUUCAUCGGUACCUCCCACCGCCUUCCUUCAUCGGCUGCCAUCGACUAGAUCCCGGCGCCAGCGGUUGACGAGCACACGACGCCUAGGUCGCGACCAGAUCGUAGACAUGGCGGCGCGCGCGGCCGUAGAAAGGCGGAGGAGGCGAGGCGCAUGCAUCACUCUCGCUUCAUGGCGGCGGCGGACUCGGCACGGCCGCAUUUGAAUCAACCGGUCAUCGAGGGGUGAGGCAAGGGCGGCGGUGUCAGGCUACGGCGGUGCCGGGACCAGAAGCGUGUGCUACCUGACGUACCUGAAUCAACCAGUCGCCGUAUUCUGGACCCCAAAGCGAAGUCCAGCAGAUAUAUAUAUAUAUAUGUUUUCGUGAGCAUAUACGGAAGUACGGAAACUAUAUAUUUGUGAGCAUUUCAAUCGACACCUCAAUUCGUCCUACAACUGCCUAGCUAAUAUAGAAGACGAUUUCGCUAAGUUUUACAGUGUAUUUGAUUCAAAAUACAAACCUGACUGCGGUAUUGUUUUGUGUCGUAUGGGUGAUGGGUCUAAAAUAGACUAUUUUUACUUUCUCUACUUUCAAAGUGCAAUCAUUAUUAUAUGCUUAAAUAUAUAUGAUUUGAUUAGAGUAAAUAUGUAAUUUCCAAGCAACAUCAAGCCUGCUCGGCAGGCCUUCGCAGCAGCAGCUGCUGCAGGGCUACAGUAAAAAA